ACCUUUGUGGUGUAGUGGUCAGCACUCUCCACGCGUAACCGAGAGGUCCGUGGUUCGAUUCCCGGCGAAGGCG
rnacentral:tRNA from 1 species